UCAAAUCACCAUUAUGUUUUAUGUGCGGUAAUCAUAUAAAAUUGGCUCGACUGGCUUCAGCUCCAUUCUAUUUGAAGCAUUUGAAUUUUAUUUGUGGACAUUGAUUUUCAAAAACUGAAUUCUUACAAUAUAAUGGUGAUAUAUUUAAACUUUAUUUGAUCUGACAGUAAAUUUUAUAUGCAGCGACAUAUAGCUGAUAAAUAUUAUUACCGGCACAUAAAAUACAAAUGCGCACAAUGAAAAGCCUAUUUAUGCUUAUAUCAAAAUGGCUACUUGGCGACGGCUCAGAAAAACUGUGGAUCCAUACACAAAACAAGCAUAUAAUUUCUUCAUCCGACGUAUACAAGAAGGACUGAUGCAAUGGACACAAUUUAGAAAGUGUCGAAUGGAAAUGCGGACCGCUUGAGCGAUACACGAGCAAGCGCCGAUAAAACGGAGAACCGAACAUUUUUACCCGCUUCGUCUCGGAGUACAACCAGUUCAGAUGCCCAAGGCAGUUCCUGACAGCAUACAGACGAUACGGUCGAUGUUGUGAAUAGUGCUGCAGCAAGGCAUCAAGCUGGCAUCAAACCCAGGGAAUUAUUAUUUCU